GCGGGAAUAGCUCAGCUGGUAGAGCGAUACCUUGCCAAGGUAUAGGUCGCGAGUUCGAAUCUCGUUUCCCGCUCCA
rnacentral:tRNA from 4 species